UACGUAGGGUGCAAGCGUUGUCCGGAAUUAUUGGGCGUAAAGAGUUCGUAGGCGGUUUGUCGCGUCCGUUGUGAAAGCUUGGGGCUCAACCCCAAGUCUGCAGCCGAUACGGGCAGGCUAGAGUUCGGUAGGGGAGACUGGAAUUCCUGGUGUAGCGGUGAAAUGCGCAGAUAUCAGGAGGAACACCGGUGGCGAAGGCGGGUCUCUGGGCCGAUACUGACGCUGAGGAGCGAAAGCGUGGGGAGCGAACAGG
rnacentral:rRNA from 1 species